AAUGUCCUUGUGCUGAAUUUAGUCAAACAGAGACCACCAGAGGAAGUUGUGGGAGAUUGGCAAUGAUGUACUGAACGAGCAUGGUGGAAAGACAACAUAGUCAAAUGGGGGUUUGUCAUAAGCCUAACUUGUGCAUAGCCUGCUUUGAUAGAGGGCCUACAGGAUAUUUUCAUCUAUGUGACCUUACCGCCUGUAUUCCUUGUACACUACAUAUUUUCUAAAAACAAUGUAGGAAGAAAUACUAGUACCCUAAAUGUGGGAUUAAAAUUGAAGCUGUCAGAAACGUUUAUAACUAGAAAGUAUUUGAUAAUAUGAUAGC
rnacentral:lncRNA from 1 species